rnacentral:rRNA from 1 species
AGAGUUUGAUCAUGGCUCAGAACGAACGCUGGCGGCGUGGAUAAGACAUGCAAGUCGAACGGGAACUUUUUUGGUAGCAAUACUAGAGAAGUUCUAGUGGCGAACGGGUGCGUAACACGUGGGCAAUCUACCGAGAAGUGGGGGAUAGCUCGCCGAAAGGCGAAUUAAUACCGCAUGUGAUCAGAGGCGACAUCGUCUCGAAAUCAAAGCCGGGGCAACCUGGCGCUUUUUGUGGGGCCCGCGGCCUAUCAGCUUGUUGGUGAGGUAACGGCUCACCAAGGCUAUGACGGGUAGCUGGUCUGAGAGGACGACCAGUCACACUGGGACUGAGACACGGCCCAGACACCUACGGGUGGCAGCAGUCGAGAAUUUUUCUCAAUGGGGGAAACCCUGAAGGAGCGACGCCGCGUGGAGGAUGAAGGUCUUCGGGUUGUAAACUCCUGUCAUUUGGGAACAAGUGCCGGUACGUAACUGCUACCGGCUUGAUAGUACCAGAAGAGGAAGGGACGGCUAACUCUGUGCCAGCAGCCGCGGUAAUACAGAGGUCUCAAGCGUUGUUCGGAUUCAUUGGGCGUAAAGGGUGUGUAGGUGGCGCCGUAAGUGGGGUGUGAAAUUUCGGAGCUUAACUCCGAAACUGCAUUCCAUACUGCGGUGCUUGAGGACUGGAGAGGAGACUGGAAUUUACGGUGUAGCAGUGAAAUGCGUAGAUAUCGUAAGGAAGACCAGUGGCGAAGGCGGAGUCUCUGGACAGUUCCUGACACUGAGACACGAAGGCCAAGGGGAGCAAACGGGAUUAGAUACCCCGGUAGUCC